rnacentral:snRNA from 1 species
GGAUGUGAGGGCGAUCUGGCUGCGACAUCUGUCACCCCAUUGAUCGCCAGGGUUGAUUCGGCUGAUCUGGCUGGCUAGGCGGGUGUCCCCUUCCUCCCUCACCGCUCCAUGUGCGUCCCUCCCGAAGCUGCGCGCUCGGUCGAAGAGGACGACCAUCCCCGAUAGAGGAGGACCGUUCUUCGGUCAAGGGUAUACGAGUAGCUGCGCUCCCCUGCUAGAACCUCCAAACAAGCUCUCAAAAUGCAUAGCAGGACUCAGGCAGAUAUGUUUUAAUUAUAAAGCAAUCAAUCAAAUGUUUAGAUACUACUUCCCUUCUUU